rnacentral:rRNA from 1 species
UGCGUAGUCUAUGUGAAACAGGUUAUUCCUGUGCUGGUGUUACUGCGAAGGGGACGGAGAAGGCUAUGUUGGCCGGGGGGACGUUGUCCCGGUUUGAGCGUGUAGGCUGGUUUUCCAGGCAACUGGAAAUCAAGGCUGAGGCGUGAUGACGAGGCACUACGGUGCUGAAGCAACAAAUGCCCUGCUUCCAGGAAAAGUUUUUUGCAUCAGGUAACAUCAAAUCGUACCCCAAACCGACACAGGUGGUCAGGUAGAGAAUACCAAGGCGCUUGAGAGAGCUCGGGUGAAGGAACUAGGCAAAAUGGUGCCGUAACUCGGGAGAAGGCACGCUGAUGUAGGUGAGGUCCUCGCGGAUGGAGCUGAAAUCAGUCGAAGAUACCAGCUGGCUGCAACUGUUUAUUAAAACACAGCACUGUGCAAACACGAAAGUGGACGUAUACGGUGAUGCCUGCCCGGUGCCGGAAGGUUAAUUGAUGGGGUUAGCGCAAGCGAAGCUUUGAUCGAAGCCCCGGUAAACGGCGGCCGUAACAAUAACGGUCCUAAGGUAGCGAAAUUCUUGUCGGUAAGUUCCGACCUGCACGAAUGGCGUAAUGAUGGCCAGGCUGUCUCCACCGAGACUCAGUGGAAAUUGAACUCGCUGUGAAGAUGCAUGUACCCGGGGCAAGACGGAAAGACCCCGUGAACCUUUACUAUAGCGACACUGAACAUUGAGCCUGAUGUAGGGAUAGGUGGGAGGCUUUGAAGUGUGGACGCCAGUCUGCAUGGAGCCGACCUUGAAAAUACCACCCUUUAAUGUUUGAUGUUCUAACGUUGACCGCAUCCGGGUUGCGUGACAGUGUCUGGUGGUAGUUUGGUUGCGGUCUCCUCCUAAGAGUAAGGGAGGAGCACGAAGGUUGGCUAAUCCUGGUCGGACAUCAGGAGGUUAGUGCAAUGGCAUAAGCCAGCUUGACUGCGAGCGUGACGGCAGCAGGUGCGAAAGCAGGUCAUAGUGAUCCGUGGUUCUGAAUGGAAGGCCAUCGCUCAACGGAUAACAGGUACUCCGGGAUAAGUUGAUACCGCCCAAGAGUUCAUAUCGACGGCGGUGUUUGCACCUCGAUGUCGGCUCAUCACAUCCUGGGGCUGAAAGUAGGUCCCAAGGCAUGGCUGUUCGCCAUUUAAAGUGGUACCGAGCUGGGUUUGAACGUCGUGAGACAGUUCGGUCCCUUUACUGCCGUGGCGCUGGAGAACUGAGGGGGUUCUCCUGAGUACGAGAGGACCGGAGUGGACGCAUCACUGGUGUUCGUUGUCAUGCCAAUGGCACUGCCCGGUAGCUAAAUCGGAAGAGAUAAGUGCUGAAAGCAUCUAAGCACGAAACUUGCCCCCCGAGAUGAGUUCUCCUGACUCUUGAGAGUCCUGAAGGAACGUUGAAGACGACGACGUUGAUAGGCCAGGUGUAAGCGCAGCGAUGCGUUGAGCUAACCGGUACUAAUGAACCGUGAGGCUUAA